CCUACGGGAGGCAGCAGUGGGGAAUUUUGGACAAUGGGCGCAAGCCUGAUCCAGCAAUGCCGCGUGCAGGAUGAAGGCCUUCGGGUUGUAAACUGCUUUUGUACGGAACGAAACGGUCUGCUUUAAUACAGUGGGCUAAUGACGGUACCGUAAGAAUAAGCACCGGCUAACUACGUGCCAGCAGCCGCGGUAAUACGUAGGGUGCGAGCGUUAAUCGGAAUUACUGGGCGUAAAGCGUGCGCAGGCGGUUAUAUAAGACAGAUGUGAAAUCCCCGGGCUCAACCUGGGACCUGCAUUUGUGACUGUAUAGCUAGAGUACGGUAGAGGGGGAUGGAAUUCCGCGUGUAGCAGUGAAAUGCGUAGAUAUGCGGAGGAACACCGAUGGCGAAGGCAAUCCCCUGGACCUGUACUGACGCUCAUGCACGAAAGCGUGGGGAGCAAACAGGAUUAGAUACCCUGGUAGUCCACGCCCUAAACGAUGUCAACUGGUUGUUGGGUCCUCUACUGACUCAGUAACGAACGACGUACGACGUGUAAGUAGACCGCCGUCGGGUAAGGUACGGUCCGGCGAAGGUUAGUUAAACGUUACGAAAGGAAGUUAGACGGCGUUGAGACGNGCCGACGGACGACGACGAGGGAGGAGG
rnacentral:rRNA from 1 species